rnacentral:rRNA from 1 species
AUUGAACGCUGGCGGCAUGCUUUACACAUGAAAGUCGAACGGCAGCGCGGGCUUCGGCCUGGCGGCGAGUGGCGAACGGGUGAGUAAUACAUCGGAACGUGCCCAGUAGUGGGGGAUAGCUCGGCGAAAGCCGGAUUUAUACCGCAUACGACCUGAGGGUGAAAGCGGGGGAUCUUCGGACCUCGCGCUAUUGGAGCGGCCGAUGGCAGAUUAGCUAGUUGGUGGGGUAAAGGCCUACCAAGGCGACGAUCUGUAGCUGGUCUGAGAGGACGACCAGCCAAACUGGGACUGAGACACGGCCCAGACGCCUACGGGAGGCAGCAGUGGGGAAUGUUGGACAAAGGGCGGAAGCCUGAUCCAGCAAUGCCGCGAGUGUGAUGAAGGCCUUCGGGUUGUAAAGCACUUUUGGCGGGAACGAAAAGGACUGUGCCAAUACCACGGUUCGAUGACGGUACCCGCAGAAUAAGCACCGGCUAACUACGUG